GUUCCAGCAGCCGCGGUAAUACAGAGGGGGCUAGCGUUAUUCGGAAUUAUUGGGCGUAAAGGGCGCGUAGGCGGCUUUGCGUGUCUUCCGUGAAAUCCCUCGGCUCAACCGAGGACGUGCGGAAGAAACUGCAAGGCUCGAGUCCGGAAGAGGGGGGCGGAAUUCCCAGUGUAGCGGUGAAAUGCGUAGAUAUUGGGAGGAACACCAGUGGCGAAGGCGGUCCCCUGGGCCGGAACUGACGCUGAGGCGCGAAAGCGUGGGUAGCAAACGGGAUUAGAUACCCUGGUAGUCC
rnacentral:rRNA from 1 species